rnacentral:rRNA from 1 species
UACAGAGGGGGCAAGCGUUGUCCGGAUUCAUUGGGCGUAAAGCGCGUGUAGGCGGCCAGGUAGGUCCGACGUGAAAACUGGAGGCUCAACCUCCAGCUGUCGUUGGAAACCAUCUGGCUAGAGUCCGGAAGAGGAGAGUGGAAUUCCUGGUGUAGCGGUGAAAUGCUUAGAUAUGACAUAGAACACCAAUUGCGAAGGCAGCUUACUACACAGUUAUUGACACUGAGGCACGAAAGCGUGGGGAUCAAACAGG